GACGAACGCUGGCGGCGUGCCUAAUACAUGCAAGUAGAACGCACAGGAUGCACCGUAGUUUACUACACCGUAUUCUGUGAGUUGCGAACGGGUGAGUAACGCGUAGGUAACCUGCCUGGUAGCGGGGGAUAACUAUUGGAAACGAUAGCUAAUACCGCAUAAGAACAUUUACUGCAUGGUAGAUGUUUAAAAGGUGCAAAUGCAUCACUACCAGAUGGACCUGCGUUGUAUUAGCUAGUAGGUGAGGUAACGGCUCACCUAGGCGACGAUACAUAGCCGACCUGAGAGGGUGAUCGGCCACACUGGGACUGAGACACGGCCCAGACUCCUACGGGAGGCAGCAGUAGGGAAUCUUCGGCAAUGGGGGGAACCCUGACCGAGCAACGCCGCGUGAGUGAAGAAGGUUUUCGGAUCGUAAAGCUCUGUUGUUAAGGAAGAACGAGUGUGAGAAUGGAAAGUUCAUACUGUGACGGUACUUAACCAGAAAGGGACGGCUAACUACGUG
rnacentral:rRNA from 1 species